rfam:Myotis davidii contig182175, whole genome shotgun sequence.
GGCAGUUCCUGGGUGAGGCACCCCAAAAUCAGGCUCCCUCCUCUCUGGUUUCAAGUUGUGUCACCCAAGAACUGCC